GAAGCUGCUGUAACUUCAAAUUAAGAUGAAAAUUUGUCCUUCAGUUUUGUUUAGUGUUUUUUUAUCGUAGUAUGUUGCACCUAAUGAUUAUAUGAUAUCUUUCUCUCAGAUGACUGCUCAAAUACCUUUGAUAUAUUUCAUUUGGUAAUGUACUAGUGACUGGUGAGGCAUACACUCAUUGUACUAGUGACUAGUGAGGCAUACACUCAUUUUAGCUAACUGUUGAAUUUUAUGAUUGUUUUGUAAAUUUCAUGUUCAUCCUGAUCCUCACAUUCACCUUUGGAUAAGGAUAAUAUAUCAUUCCGCUUACACCAAGCAAGAGGAUUCUAGUGAAACGCUACCUUGGCCUUUGAUCGUAAUUAUCAGUUGUGCACCCUGGUCUUCUUUACCGGUAGCCUUGUAGCUGGUUGCAAGCAGUGGCAGAGAUGAAAGAGUGCAACCGCAGGCUCAGUUCCUAAAACUUUUCGAAGAUGUCAAUGAUAUCGAGGAUGAAUUGGGUAUAGGUCCUCUCAGUCAUAUAGUUUAAAUCACACAUCCGGAUCUUCUCACUCUUUGUCUGUAUACUAUGGCUAGCUGCAACGGGACGGGCAAUUUUGUUUAGGCUCUUCCACUAUAUCUGGAUAAGUUGUUUCAUCCUAUUGUUGCUGUCAUUCUGUUGACUGUUGAUAAUCCCUCAAGCAGCUUGCUCUAGACAUGGUUGACUGUGGGUGCUUUUUGUGUAUGGCUUGUGCACAUUUUGAUGAUUAUUUGCUACCCGAUUGCCUACCCUAUUGAAAAGCCUAUGAAAUUGAUCAAAUGGAAGACGUGACGAUGCUGAGUUGGUUCAAAAAAGGAAAGAAUGAGGGCGGAGGAUACAUGAAGGAUAGGCUGCCGGAAGAUUACUGUUGCCGCAUUUGCUUGAUGACUUCCACAUUCUAUGCCGGACUAACUGUGGCCAUUGGUUUUGUGGCAAGUCUUUCUCUUUCUGCAUUUCUUUCUUCCCUCUUUCUUUUCAACUUCAACUUGAAAUGAAGAAAUUGGAGUCUUAAAUUUGUGGGUUUUGGUUUCUUGUUGCCUCUGCCUAAAAAAGAAAUGCAGCUUCUGUUUAUCAAUAUUUGAUUAAAUGUGGGAGGAAAUGAAUAGAUUAAAUGUGUUUCUUGGCUAAAUUUCUAUCAAUCAAGAAUCAAGAUGGAGAUAAAAGAUUAUAAACAAUACUCUGUUUUACACUCUGUGUCUCCUAAUUAUGUUUUUCCUUUCCAAAUGGUUUAUUCUAUUGAUUAAAUGUUAUCAUUUCAUCCUCAAGAACACCUACUUAUGGGAUUACAUAUGAUCUGUGUCCUAUUGCAGUAGCCUGCCUUCUUCUACUGUCAUUAUUCAUGGAAAAUUUCCAGUAUUGCAAGUGUCCUAUGUGUCGAUCCUUGAUAUCUAAUCUGGUUCCUCAUUCGUAUGUAUAGUUCAGCCAGGAAGACAAGUUCGCUAGAUACUCAGAGAGCUCAAGCGAUGCAAUUAGUUCAAGUACUUUUGUUUAGUUUUCUGUACAAGUAAAUAUUGGCGUAUGUUCUUUUACAUUCAUAUGCCAUGCCUUGACAUGUUUCCUCUAGAUGGAUGUAAUGAAAUUGAAUGGAUAACUGCUAACUGUUAUCUGCUAAUACAAGUCCCAUUGCCAUUUGACA